rnacentral:rRNA from 1 species
AGCGAACGCUGGCGGCAGGCUUAACACAUGCAAGUCGAGCGGGCGUAGCAAUACGUCAGCGGCAGACGGGUGAGUAACGUGUGGGAACAUACCUUUUGGUUCGGAACAACACAGGGAAACUUGUGCUAAUACCGGAUAAGCCCUUACGGGGAAAGAUUUAUCGCCGAAAGAUUGGCCCGCGUCUGAUUAGCUAGUUGGUGAGGUAAUGGCUCACCAAGGCGACGAUCAGUAGCNGGUCUGAGAGGAUGAUCAGCCACAUUGGGACUGAGACACGGCCCAAACUCCUACGGGAGGCAGCAGUGGGGAAUAUUGGACAAUGGGCGCAAGCCUGAUCCAGCCAUGCCGCGUGAGUGAUGAAGGCCCUAGGGUUGUAAAGCUCUUUUGUGCGGGAAGAUAAUGACGGUACCGCAAGAAUAA